CUGCGGCGGCUUACACAUGCAAGUCGAGCGCACUCUUCGGAGUGAGCGGCGGACGGGUUAGUAACGCGUGGGAACGUGCCCUUCUCUAAGGAAUAGCCACUGGAAACGGUGAGUAAUACCUUAUACGCCCUUCGGGGGAAAGAUUUAUCGGAGAAGGAUCGGCCCGCGUUAGAUUAGAUAGUUGGUGGGGUAAUGGCCUACCAAGUCUACGAUCUAUAGCUGGUUUUAGAGGAUGAUCAGCAACACUGGGACUGAGACACGGCCCAGACUCCUACGGGAGGCAGCAGUGGGGAAUCUUGGACAAUGGGCGCAAGCCUGAUCCAGCCAUGCCGCGUGAGUGAUGAAGGCCUUAGGGUCGUAAAGCUCUUUCGCCAGAGAUGAUAAUGACAGUAUCUGGUAAAGAAACCCCGGCUAACUCCGUGCCAGCAGCCGCGGUAAUACGGAGGGGGUUAGCGUUGUUCGGAAUUACUGGGCGUAAAGCGCACGUAGGCGGAUCAGAAAGUAUAGGGUGAAAUCCCAGGGCUCAACCCUGGAACUGCCUUGUAAACUCCUGGUCUUGAGUUCGAGAGAGGUGAGUGGAAUUCCGAGUGUAGAGGUGAAAUUCGUAGAUAUUCGGAGGAACACCAGUGGCGAAGGCGGCUCACUGGCUCGAUACUGACGCUGAGGUGCGAAAGUGUGGGGAGCAAACAGGAUUAGAUACCCUGGUAGUC
rnacentral:rRNA from 1 species